GUGCAUGGGAAAACAACAUUCAAUAAUAGUCUUUGUGUUUAAAACUAUCAUGGUAUACAUUUUCUUAUGUGGUGCUUGAGGAGUUUCAUUCUACAGUUUACAAGGUGUAGGUUUGCACCCCAAAUUCUCAGGGUAUGCUAUUUCACCCAAAUACUUGAAAGAAAAAGGUGCCCUGUAUUUUAUCAGUACUGUUGAGGGGGAAAUUUUUUGUGUAAGUUUGUUUGAUAAAACUGCUUAUAAAAAUCAAAUUCACAAAAUAUGUUAGGCUUUCACAUAAUUUCUAAGGAGAUAUAUGUAGAAAUAAGAUAUAUAUUAUCAAGAGACUGCUUAUAUAUUCUUAACUAGCUUCUGGGUCCUAAGUAGACCUCACAGGUGCAUAAAAUCAUUAAUAAAGCAUGUAGCACUUGCUAAUUGGUGCCUUAAGCUUGAAUCUAAUCAGAAUUGCAGACUCGGGUCCUCUGGGAAAAAAACAUGUCCGUCUGUGGCACGUGUGAGUACUAGGCCCAGGGGAAGAGUCUGAAAAUUGAAUUCUUUUGUGUGUCCUGUGUCUCAGAAGAGAACUGAAUGUUCAGAGCAGCGUUUGUAAGCUAUUAACAUUCAGUAUUUCGUGUUGCAACUAGAACACAUUAUUAGAUUUAUUCCUGUUUAAUUCAUAAUGGUGCAGAAUAAAACACACACAUCUGAUUUGAUUUCUUUUUCUUUUUUUAAGUUUCAUAAUUGCUUUUUAUGGCUAGUGUUAAUGGCAAAAAGUCCUUUCCAGGGCUCCCUGAAUAAUCUACCAUACCUGUAUCCAUAGCAGGUGAUGCUUUUUUUUAUCCCCACUUUGAAGACGUGUGUUUCUGUAUUUACACAUAAAUCAUACUAUUGUAUAUUAAAGACAGCAGUGGUUGAAAAGAAUGUGAACACUGUAGAAGUUAUGUUGGAAAAAAGGAGAGUAAAUUGUGUGAUUAAUGGGGAAGGAUAUUGGAUAAUGUUAUACCCCGGACUAUGAAAAAAGCUGGUGGUAAAUGGGAAGAAUGUGAAAUUUUAAACUGCUCUCAACGUAGGAAUCUUGGUGGAAAAGUUCCUACCUGAGGUCUGAUAUGAUUCAAUUAUAGAAUGCAAUGAGCUUGGCCAAGGGGACUUUGAAUCCAGCCAAGGAAACUUUGAAUCUCGACAGCUCUGAGAAUCACAUUUUCAGUGCAUUGAAUAUGGAGUAAACUAUUUAGACAAGGAUUCUGUGAGACUAGGCUACUUACCUUUAAUUGCCAGCAUUUGUAAAUGAUUGUGCAAUCUUGUGUAAUGGUCUUUUAUUUUGACUGUUUUGGAAAAAAAAUGUUUUAUUGUUUUUUUUUCCCAGUAAAAAUUACUUCAAAGAAAA
rnacentral:lncRNA from 1 species